AUGGGCAAGAUCCAGCCGGCGUUGAAGCCUAUCCCACCGGCGCAGCUCCCCAUCGCCAUUGCGCUGCUCCUUCCCCGCGUGUCUCCAGUUCCCCUUGCUGCUCGGAUUGGUGUGCCGCGGUGCCGCCACUCAGUAAUGCUUGAGCACAGCACCAGCAGUCGUCGCGGUCACUUCAUCCCUGAACUGCCACGCGCCGCCUGCGGCCUCGCUUCUUCCCCUGUCUUCUGCCUGGGCGAACCCCUUUUUCUCCUCCCAGGCACAGCUGCAACGUCCUUCUCAGUCCAAAUUGAGCAUUGGUUGUCGUACAAGUUGGAUCCCGGCUACAGUCUUCGCCAAAGAAGCCAUCAUCCCUGUUCUGAACUACCAACAGCCUCUGCUAAUGUGCGCAAAAUUCAAGGUUUGCCCCAUGUUUGCUCUGUUUCUGAAUUCGAGUAUGAUUAG
rnacentral:rRNA from 1 species